rnacentral:rRNA from 1 species
GGGUGCGAUCAUACCAGCACUAAUGCACCGGAUCCCAUCAGAACUCCGCAGUUAAGCGUGCGCGAGAGUAGUACUAGGAUGGGUGACCCCCUGGGAAGUCCUCGUGUUGCAACCC